UACAGAGGGUGCGAGCGUUAAUCGGAAUUACUGGGCGUAAAGCGCGCGUAGGCGGCUUUGCAAGUUAGAGGUGAAAGCCCGGGGCUCAACCCCGGAAUUGCCUUUAAGACUGCAUCGCUAGAAUCCAGGAGAGGUGAGUGGAAUUCCGAGUGUAGAGGUGAAAUUCGUAGAUAUUCGGAAGAACACCAGUGGCGAAGGCGGCUCACUGGACUGGUAUUGACGCUGAGGUGCGAAAGCGUGGGGAGCAAACAGG
rnacentral:rRNA from 1 species